GAUGAACGCUGGCGGCGUGCCUAAUACAUGCAAGUCGAGCGAACGGACGAGAAGCUUGCUUCUCUGAUGUUAGCGGCGGACGGGUGAGUAACACGUGGAUAACCUACCUAUAAGACUGGGAUAACUUCGGGAAACCGGAGCUAAUACCGGAUAAUAUUUUGAACCGCAUGGUUCAAAAGUGAAAGACGGUCUUGCUGUCACUUAUAGAUGGAUCCGCGCUGCAUUAGCUAGUUGGUAAGGUAACGGCUUACCAAGGCAACGAUGCAUAGCCGACCUGAGAGGGUGAUCGGCCACACUGGAACUGAGACACGGUCCAGACUCCUACGGGAGGCAGCAGUAGGGAAUCUUCCGCAAUGGGCGAAAGCCUGACGGAGCAACGCCGCGUGAGUGAUGAAGGUCUUCGGAUCGUAAAACUCUGUUAUUAGGGAAGAACAUAUGUGUAAGUAACUGUGCACAUCUUGACGGUACCUAAUCAGAAAGCCACGGCUAACUACGUGCCAGCAGCCGCGGUAAUACGUAGGUGGCAAGCGUUAUCCGGAAUUAUUGGGCGUAAAGCGCGCGUAGGCGGUUUUUUAAGUCUGAUGUGAAAGCCCACGGCUCAACCGUGGAGGGUCAUUGGAAACUGGAAAACUUGAGUGCAGAAGAGGAAAGUGGAAUUCCAUGUGUAGCGGUGAAAUGCGCAGAGAUAUGGAGGAACACCAGUGGCGAAGGCGACUUUCUGGUCUGUAACUGACGCUGAUGUGCGAAAGCGUGGGGAUCAAACAGGAUUAGAUACCCUGGUAGUCCACGCCGUAAACGAUGAGUGCUAAGUGUUAGGGGGUUUCCGCCCCUUAGUGCUGCAGCUAACGCAUUAAGCACUCCGCCUGGGGAGUACGACCGCAAGGUUGAAACUCAAAGGAAUUGACGGGGACCCGCACAAGCGGUGGAGCAUGUGGUUUAAUUCGAAGCAACGCGAAGAACCUUACCAAAUCUUGACAUCCUUUGACAACUCUAGAGAUAGAGCCUUCCCCUUCGGGGGACAAAGUGGCAGGUGGUGCAUGGUUGUCGUCAGCUCGUGUCGUGAGAUGUUGGGUUAAGUCCCGCAACGAGCGCAACCCUUAAGCUUAGUUGCCAUCAUUAAGUUGGGCACUCUAAGUUGACUGCCGGUGACAAACCGGAGGAAGGUGGGGAUGACGUCAAAUCAUCAUGCCCCUUAUGAUUUGGGCUACACACGUGCUACAAUGGACAAUACAAAGGGCAGCGAAACCGCGAGGUCAAGCAAAUCCCAUAAAGUUGUUCUCAGUUCGGAUUGUAGUCUGCAACUCGACUACAUGAAGCUGGAAUCGCUAGUAAUCGUAGAUCAGCAUGCUACGGUGAAUACGUUCCCGGGUCU
rnacentral:rRNA from 1 species